rnacentral:rRNA from 1 species
GCCGCGGUAAGACGUAGGGCGCGAGCGUUGUCCGGAAUUAUUGGGCGUAAAGAGCUCGUAGGCGGCUUGUCGCGUCGACUGUGAAAACCCGCGGCUCAACCGCGGGCCUGCAGCCGAUACGGGCAGGCUAGAGUUCGGUAGGGGAGACUGGAAUUCCUGGUGUAGCGGUGAAAUGCGCAGAUAUCAGGAGGAACACCGAUGGCGAAGGCAGGUCUCUGGGCCGAUACUGACGCUGAGGAGCGAAAGCGUGGGGAGCGAACAGGAUUAGAUACCCUGGUAGUCCACGCUGUAAACGUUGGGCGCUAGGUGUGGGGGACCUCUCCGGUUCUCUGUGCCGCAGCUAACGCAUUAAGCGCCCCGCCUGGGGAGUACGGCCGCAAGGCUAAAACUCAAAGGAAUUGACGGGGGCCCGCACAAGCGGCGGAGCAUGCGGAUUAAUUCGAUGCAACGCGAAGAACCUUACCUGGGUUUGACA